CGCGCCUGACCCCUCGGUGGUGAAACACCGCCUCUCCCGACCCACGAUCCCAGGGUCGGGUGCGCCCGACCCCUCGCCGCAAGGCUCCGCCUCGCCUGACCCUAGGCAUAGAGGGUCGAACCCACCCGGGCCCACCAGACAAGGGUCCGCCUCGGGCGCGGACCGGCAGACGAGGGCGUGGAUCUCAUGGGGCCCCCACCGAUCUUGCCAUAAAUGCGCCGCGGCUCUGGCGCGCAGAAAGGUGCUUGUCCCCCUCAACGUGACUUACCACAAGUACCCGGGCGGAACACUAUAGCCACGACCGCACAGGCUACAGUGGCCACGACUCCCUAUGAUUCGC
rnacentral:lncRNA from 1 species